rnacentral:rRNA from 1 species
AUACGGGGGAUGCGAGCGUUAUCCGGAUUUAUCGGGUUUAAAGGGUGCGUAGGCGGCCUGUUAAGUCAGCGGUGAAAUAUCCUCGCUCAACGAGGAGAUUGCCGUUGAUACUGGUGGGCUUGAAUGCGGAUGCCGUUGGAGGAAUGUGUGGUGUAGCGGUGAAAUGCAUAGAUAUCACACAGAACACCGAUUGCGAAGGCAUCUGACGAAUCCGCGAUUGACGCUGAUGCACGAAAGCGUGGGUAUC